UACGGAGGGUGCAAGCGUUAAUCGGAAUUACUGGGCGUAAAGCGUGCGCAGGCGGUUUGUUAAGUCCGUUGUGAAAGCCCCGAGCUCAACUCGGGAAUUGCAGUGGAUACUGGCAGGCUGGAGUACGGUAGAGGAAGGUGGAAUUCCCGGUGUAGCAGUGAAAUGCGUAGAUAUCGGGAGGAACACCAGUGGCGAAGGCGGCCUUCUGGACCAGUACUGACGCUCAUGCACGAAAGCGUGGGGAGCAAACAGG
rnacentral:rRNA from 1 species